rnacentral:rRNA from 1 species
UACGUAGGUGGCAAGCGUUGUCCGGAUUUACUGGGCGUAAAGAGCGCGCAGGCGGUCGUUCAAGUCGCGUGUGAAAGCCCCCGGCUCAACUGGGGAGGGUCACGCGAUACUGAUCGACUCGAAGGCAGGAGAGGGAAGUGGAAUUCCCGGUGUAGUGGUGAAAUGCGUAGAUAUCGGGAGGAACACCAGUGGCGAAGGCGGCUCUCUGGGACGGUACUGACGCUGAGACGCGAAAGCGUGGGGAGCGAACAGG